UACGGGGGGGGCAAGCGUUGUUCGGAAUUACUGGGCGUAAAGGGCUCGUAGGCGGUUUGUCGCGUCGGGAGUGAAAACACCGGGCUUAACUCGGUGCUUGCUUUCGAUACGGGCAGACUAGAGGCAUGCAGGGGAGAACGGAAUUCCUGGUGUAGCGGUGAAAUGCGCAGAUAUCAGGAGGAACACCGGUGGCGAAGGCGGUUCUCUGGGCAUGUCCUGACGCUGAGGCACGAAAGUGUGGGGAUCAAACAGG
rnacentral:rRNA from 1 species